rnacentral:lncRNA from 1 species
CGCGCGGCCCGCACUGCGGCACCCAGUCGGCUCUCAGAGCUUGGGACGUUGGCGGCCGGUCUGGCUGUGCUGCUGCCGCCCUCCGGCCCGCCCAGCUUGGCACUAGGUCUGCUUGCUUCUCACCGCUCCAGCAGUCGGUUCGUUGGGAACCGAUCGCUGAGCGCUCUCCUCUCCGUCCUGGCCUGAACGCUUUGGAGCAGAUACGUUCUAAGAUCCUGAUUGAGUCAGUGCGUUACAUUAUUUCUCAAUGCUUGCCAUAAAGCUGAGCUAUGCCCACUGUUGAGAGUGAAGCCAAAGCAAAAACCAAAAUUCGCUUUGAAGAAUUACUUAAGACCCACAAUGAUCUAAUUCGUGAAAGAAAAAAACUGAAGAAAAAACUUGCCAAAUCUAGAGAAAACAUCCCAGUGAGUAACUGAUCAUUUGGUUAUGGUGACUUACGUAUCUGAAUAAAAUUAUGGCUUUCAUAUUAAAAUUCUAAGGA